GCGUGCACGCGCGAGGAAAGGCGAAUUCUGUGGCGUGACACUCGGCGUUAAACAUGGAACCUGUGCCCAACGUAAAACGACAAAUGGAGGUGGAAAUACAGAUAAGUGCGACAUUAGACAUUUGGGAGACAAGCGACGCCGGUUUGUAAUGGCUUCAUCCCCGGGAGAAGGCGAGGGAACCAUGGGGGGCGUUGCGUGGAGACACAUCGGCGCAGCCUCGGAGCUUUCCGGCAAGAAAUGCCGACUCGUGUACUCAUCCCUCGGCCGGCAGUCGGACGUGUGCCUCUUCUCCGUCAAGGGGGAGUUUUUCGCCAUGGAUGCCCGCUGUGCACACGCCGGAGGUCCGUUGUGCGAGGGCGACAUCGAGGAGGCUGAUGGAAUUCUACGGGUCUUCUGUCCAUGGCAUGACUACGACUUUAACCUCAGGACUGGGAAGUCCGGGACGUCGUUAAAGCAACAAGUGCAUGAAGUCAAGCUGGAGGACGGUGACGUGUACGUGAAGCAUGCGAGCUGUCUCUCCUUGCAGCCGUUUCCUGUCCAUCACAAGAGCUGAGCGUCAACCUUCCAUACCCCUGGCCGGGGAUGCCAAGUUGCUGAUUACAGGACGUCCUACCGUUCUUACAGUCGCUGUUAGACCUAAAAUCCUAACAUCUUGGGCCUCAGACCAGGAAAUUGAUGUCACAAUCAAAAGAUGGCUACAUCUGGCUCCUGAUCAGGAUGGUGACAGGAAGGAGAGCAUGAGAAGAAAAGAGGACAUGGAGAGCGCAACAAUUUGAUGGACAGAAAAAUACCGUUCAAGAGUAACCUACAUCCCAAUUUGGACUUUGUGUUCACUGUUAAAUAAAGAAAAGUGCAUUUUUCCAGUGUAUGU